CUUUCCUCCCUUGAUCAUCGGUGGCAGCGCAGGACGCAACGUUACGGGGCGCGGCUGUGAAGUUACGGGAGCCGGCCCUGCCAUGGCGGCUGCGUGGUGGAGGGCACGUGCGUGAAGGCUGCACGUUCCUCCUGCUUCCGGCGUGCCACGGCAUGGGCCUCCCUGCUGUCGUCGUGCUCCCUGAUGCCAGAUCCUCCUUCCUCCCGGCGCUGGAGCAUCAUCCCAUGCCCUCGGCCUGCUGGCGUGAGAAAGCUCGAUUUAAAUUUGUGCAUAAGCGGUCAUCUAUAAAAAAAGCAUCUAUGAAGGAAGGCAAGGAAAAUUCCAUCUAGCAAGGUCCAUUGACGUACAAGCACGUACACCAUUUCAAGAUAUUACAAAUUUGGUUAUUUCCCGAAGAUUAUCGGAAGAGUAACAUGGCAUCAGUGUACAAUAUGGAUGAUGCACGUGAUUGGAUUGGCACUGCCAUCUCCACUGCACUGAAGGAGAUCAAGCCCAUUUCCAUCAGCAUCAAUUUGAACUUCCCCUAGAUUGACACACAUAGGAAUUUGUGAUUGAGUUUUAUGCUUAGAGCUAGAUAACUGCUUUCCGCUCUUCACCUAUCCUACAACUGCGUUAUAUUUUUUGUGUUGCUAUAAUCUGUCCAUUAAUCGGUAUUCUAGCUGAAAGUUUCAGAGUUGUCAAUUAUUUUGAAACUCGGCUCGCAGAGUAGCUGGUCCUUUUCGGGACAUAUUUGUUGUGUCUUUUCCCCAUUUAGUCUUGUAUUUUGUCAUGCAUAGUUCAAUUAGUUAAUUGUCAUUAUGCCAUAGCUAGCUUGUGCAACCUAUUGCCGCUCCACCAUGGGUCACAUGGCCAUUUGUCAUACACCGCUUCACUAGGACUUACGCCGAACUACAGAUGAUUGUAUGUAUGUUUUCACUAUUUUUCCUCAAUUGGUCUUUUUGUUUAGACACCCGGAAUGGCCAAUCUAAUAUUUUUUGUGUGUGUACAUUAUGGGGCACCCAGAAAAUUCAAAAAGAAGUUGCCUCUUGUUUGGACACCCGAAGCAUGGGCUGGUGAGACUAAGGUUGGGCAAAGAGAGCUUCAGGAAGACCGAGUAUGACUCCUCACUCGACGAUCGCUUAUUCUUCAAGCAAGGAUGGAAGAAGUUUUCACGAUACAUGACAUGAGGUUGGCACUGCUGUACAUUUAAGACCAUCGCCAACAAUGAGUUGGAGAUUACAGUCAUCCUUUCAUGUCCUUUGAGAAGUUGAGGAUCAUGUUGGACGAGUUCCGGGCUUGCAUGAGUUAUUUAGUUAUUUCUCUGCAUAUAUAUUUUUUGAACCAUGGAGGAGAACUGCAUGUGAAGUUUAUAGAUACACUAACUUUAUAGAUACAGGAAGAAAAGGGCAAAGGGUCGUAUAAAGUUCAAUCCCUAUUCUGUUUAUUUUGUUUCUACUGUGUCUACAUAAUGGUUUUAAACUAUGUUUUGUGAAUUCGAUGUAUAUAGACAUGUUUUGGUGUGUU